UGCGUGCUUUCCCUCCACUGUGAGGCUGAGCUCUCCCGACUCCUCUGCUGCAGUGGGAAGCAGCUGUACGUGUCCCGCAUUGCAGCUCCGCAAGGACGCGGAGCCACAAUGACUGUAUCAACCGCUACAGAGCGAUAUUUCACAAUAACGACGCUUUUCGGCGAUGACAGCCGCAGCCUUCGCAGGACAAAAAAAGACGCCAUGAUCCCCCUCCUCCUUCAGAGGACGAGAGGUCGCCUUUGAACGCCUGGGGGUUGAUUAUCCCUCUGUGCGUCUGACGCGGAGACAGAGAGACAUCGGAGCCUUUGAGAACUUGUGUCAUAAAUGGGAAUCAAAAAGGAAAAAACAAGAAAGUUGCAUAUUUACGCAUACAAAACUAAAUGGACCCAAAUGGACAGAAAACAUACUGAGUUUAUUGGUCUCACAGAUUUUCCAGGUUUUCAUUCAGAUCACCUGACUAUGUUUGCAGGCCUGGAUGCUGGAGCGCGUAAUUUACAACUCAAAUGAAGGAGGGAGGGUCUGUUAGGGAGAUUAAUCGGGACGCAGUUCUCCGAUGAAGGCUUGAUAUGCGCUCAUAGUACAUGGCAAAGAGAAGACACCCGCACUUUAAAAGAGCAGAUCAACCAUGAAGGGGCGCAUCAACCCCAAGAUGCUCAAUCCAAUCAUCUGUCCACCCCCUCCAGCCAAGACUCCAAGGCUCAACACAGAACAGAAAACGGAGCAGUAAAACAUGCGGACAAAACCAACGGCGGCUUACCGUGCACCACAAAUUUCAGCCUGGGCGCCUUUCCCGCAACGACCGAGGCCAAAAGUGCCAGGAGGACCAACGAAUUCAUCUUGCUUUUGAGCAGGACUUGGACCUUGUGCACACUUUGCCAAAAAUAUCAGAGGCAAGAGAUCCCUGUGGCUGAUUGGCAGGAAAUUCACCUGAACUGAAGGAACCUUAGGAGGAAGAGACAACAACUCAACACAGAAAACUCAAGGAGAUCUAUCAGAGCAACAUCCCAGCAAUCCCAGGUUGAAUCUUACAUUUCUGUAAAUGAAACUUUAGUAGAUUGUGUUUUCAAUAUUUAUAAAGUACAUUUUUGCGAUUCCUAUUUAAGCAUAAGACAGAGAAUACAAUAAAGCUGCUUGUGAACACAG